rnacentral:rRNA from 1 species
AUUGAACGCUGGCGGCAGGCCUAACACAUGCAAGUCGAGCGGAUGAAGGGAGCUUGCUCCUGGAUUCAGCGGCGGACGGGUGAGUAAUGCCUAGGAAUCUGCCUGGUAGUGGGGGAUAACGUCCGGAAACGGGCGCUAAUACCGCAUACGUCCUGAGGGAGAAAGUGGGGGAUCUUCGGACCUCACGCUAUCAGAUGAGCCUAGGUCGGAUUAGCUAGUUGGUGGGGUAAAGGCCUACCAAGGCGACGAUCCGUAACUGGUCUGAGAGGAUGAUCAGUCACACUGGAACUGAGACACGGUCCAGACCCCUACGGGAGGCAGCAGUGGGGAAUAUUGGACAAUGGGCGAAAGCCUGAUCCAGCCAUGCCGCGUGUGUGAAGAAGGUCUUCGGAUUGUAAAGCACUUUAAGUUGGGAGGAAGGGCAGUAAGUUAAUACCUUGCUGUUUGGACGUUACCAACAGAAUAAGCACCGGCUAACUUCGU